CCACUUUGAUUCAUCAAACAUAAAAUUUCAUAGUCAUUCAAGUGCAUUCUUACUAUAUUGUCUCAUACCAAACCCAUACACCAUCACACAACAUCAACCAUGUCAUAAAACAACUCAUACAUUACAUACUUUCACAAAACCAUCACUUUUUAACACAAAUUUCUUCAUGACUUUUAAUUAUCAAUAGUUAAGUAAUUCAAACAGCUUGGAGACCCUCACCAAUGGCUCCGGAAGGGUCAAAAACCCCCAGAACGACCAAAAGAACGUCCAAAACGGACAUCCGAAACCCCACAAACUAUCAAAAACAAAAGCAAAAGCAGAAAAGGGCACCCCACGCCCUUUAGGGGAGCCCGGGCGCCAUAUUUCUGGCAAACGUCGAAUCAAAGGGCGCCCAACGCCCUUUUGGGGCGCCCAGGCAUGGAUUCUGCAGAAUUUUCUGCACAUUUUGUAGAUUUGGAAGAACUCACACCCCUAAG
rnacentral:lncRNA from 1 species